AGUGAACGCUGGCGGUAGGCCUAACACAUGCAAGUCGAACGGCAGCACAGUAAGAGCUUGCUCUUACGGGUGGCGAGUGGCGGACGGGUGAGGAAUACAUCGGAAUCUACUUUUUCGUGGGGGAUAACGUAGGGAAACUUACGCUAAUACCGCAUACGACCUACGGGUGAAAGCAGGGGAUCUUCGGACCUUGCGCGAUUGAAUGAGCCGAUGUCGGAUUAGCGAGUUGGCGGGGUAAAGGCCCACCAAGGCGACGAUCCGUAGAUGGUCUGAGAGGAGGAUCAGGCACACUGGAACUGAGACACGGUCCAGACUCCUACGGGAGGCAGCAGUGGGGAAUAUUGGACAAUGGGCGCAAGCCUGAUCCAGCCAUACCGCGUGGGUGAAGAAGGCCUUCGGGUUGUAAAGCCCUUUUGUUGGGAAAGAAAAGCAGCAGGUUAAUACCCCGCUGUUCUGACGGUACCCAAAGAAUAAGCACCGGCUAACUUCGUG
rnacentral:rRNA from 1 species